AGCAAAAUGAUGAGAUUUGUUUAAUGGCUGAAUUGGAUGUUGAAUUCCCAUAUCAUUAAAUGGUCUUCAAAGUUCUCUGAUUGCU
rnacentral:snoRNA from 1 species